AUAUCAAUAAGCGGAGGAAAAGAAACCAACAGGGAUUGCCUCAGUAACGGCGAGUGAAGCGGCAACAGCUCAAAUUUGAAAUCUGGCCUUUUGGUCUGAGUUGUAAUUUGUAGAGGAUGCUUCGAACAUGGUCUGGUCUAAGUUCUUUGGAACAGGACAUCAUAGAGGGUGAGAAUCCCGUAUGUGACUAGGUGCCUAAGUUCAUGUGAAGCUCCUUCGACGAGUCGAGUUGUUUGGGAAUGCAGCUCAAAAUGGGUGGUAAAUUUCAUCUAAAGCUAAAUAUUGGCCAGAGACCGAUAGCGCACAAGUAGAGUGAUCGAAAGAUGAAAAGCACUUUGGAAAGAGAGUUAAACAGUAC
rnacentral:rRNA from 1 species